GAUGAACGCUGGCGGCGUGCCUAAUACAUGCAAGUCGAGCGAACGGACGAGAAGCUUGCUUCUCUGAUGUUAGCGGCGGACGGGUGAGUAACACGUGGAUAACCUACCUAUAAGACUGGGAUAACUUCGGGAAACCGGAGCUAAUACCGGAUAAUAUUUUGAACCGCAUGGUUCAAAAGUGAAAGACGGUCUUGCUGUCACUUAUAGAUGGAUCCGCGCUGCAUUAGCUAGUUGGUAAGGUAACGGCUUACCUAGGCAACGAUGCGUAGCCGACCUGAGAGGGUGAUCGGCCACACUGGAACUGAGACACGGUCCAGACUCCUACGGGAGGCAGCAGUAGGGAAUCUUCCGCAAUGGGCGAAAGCCUGACGGAGCAACGCCGCGUGAGUGAUGAAGGUCUUCGGAUCGUAAAACUCUGUUAUUAGGGAAGAACAUAUGUGUAAGUAACUGUGCACAUCUUGACGGUACCUAAUCAGAAAGCCACGGCUAACUACGUGCCAGCAGCCGCGGUAAUACGUAGGUGGCAAGCGUUAUCCGGAAUUAUUGGGCGUAAAGCGCGCGUAGGCGGUUUUUUAAGUCUGAUGUGAAAGCCCACGGCUCAACCGUGGAGGGUCAUUGGAAACUGGAAAACUUGAGUGCAGAAGAGGAAAGUGGAAUUCCAUGUGUAGCGGUGAAAUGCGCAGAGAUAUGGAGGAACACCAGUGGCGAAGGCGACUUUCUGGUCUGUAACUGACGCUGAUGUGCGAAAGCGUGGGGAUCAAACAGGAUUAGAUACCCUGGUAGUCCACGCCGUAAACGAUGAGUGCUAAGUGUUAGGGGGUUUCCGCCCCUUAGUGCUGCAGCUAACGCAUUAAGCACUCCGCCUGGGGAGUACGACCGCAAGGUUGAAACUCAAAGGAAUUGACGGGGACCCGCACAAGCGGUGGAGCAUGUGGUUUAAUUCGAAGCAACGCGAAGAACCUUACCAAAUCUUGACAUCCUUUGACAACUCUAGAGAUAGAGCUUUCCCCUUCGGGGGACAAAGUGACAGGUGGUGCAUGGUUGUCGUCAGCUCGUGUCGUGAGAUGUUGGGUUAAGUCCCGCAACGAGCGCAACCCUUAAGCUUAGUUGCCAUCAUUAAGUUGGGCACUCUAAGUUGACUGCCGGUGACAAACCGGAGGAAGGUGGGGAUGACGUCAAAUCAUCAUGCCCCUUAUGAUUUGGGCUACACACGUGCUACAAUGGACAAUACAAAGGGCAGCGAAACCGCGAGGUCAAGCAAAUCCCAUAAAGUUGUUCUCAGUUCGGAUUGUAGUCUGCAACUCGACUACAUGAAGCUGGAAUCGCUAGUAAUCGUAGAUCAGCAUGCUACGGUGAAUACGUUCCCGGGUCU
rnacentral:rRNA from 1 species